rnacentral:rRNA from 1 species
GACGAACGCUGGCGGCGUGCUUAACACAUGCAAGUCGAAGGGAGUGGCGAACGGGUGAGUAACACGUGAGUAACCUGCCCUUUUCUUUGGAAUACGCCUGGGAAACUGGGUCUAAUACUGGAUGGAUUGGGAUGGGCUCGGGGCUUAUCAGGUUGUUGGUGGGGUGCUGGCUUACCAAGGCUUUGACGGGUAGCCGGCCUGAGAGGGUGGUCGGGAACACUGGCACGGAGAAACGGCCCAGACUCGUACGGGGGGGAGAAGUGGGGGAUAUUGGCGAAAGGACGAAAGUCUGAUGCCGCGACGUCGUGUGGGGGAUGAAGGUCGUCAGGUUGUAAACGCGUGUCGCCAGCGGAAUGGUAGUGGGUAAAGAAGCGCCGGCUAACUACGUGCCAGCAGCCGCGGUAAUAC